UUUAAAUUAAGCUUCCUAGAAGCUUGACAGGGCUUUGUUCUGAUGUUAGUCAUCACCAUGAUACAUGUUUUGUAUAACAUUUGCUAAAGUAGCAGAAAUAAAACCUGAAUGGAAAUUAAUGAUCUAUAAAUGAGUUAAAUUUUAGCAUAUUUAACUUUUACUUUGGACAAUUUUAAUAGAUUGAUGAAUUUUUAAUAAUGCUUUUUGAAUUUAACCAUGUUUUGAAUUGUCUCCAUAUUUAAGCAUUUGUAGAUGUUCCAUUGGCUGUGUCGGUUCUCUGGUGAUACUCCCUGAAAAAGAAAAUAUCUUUUUACUGACAUCAAAUUAUUAAGGAUUGAAGACUGAGCAGUAUCAAGAACAGGGGCAAGAGGUGACGACCCGAUGACGGGUAAAACUCUCCAAAGGUAAAAAAGGAGGGGGCCUAAGGCAGGGCGCCACCAUCCUGGAAACCUGCCCAAGAAGGUUUGAAAGGGGUUUAAGGAAGUGGAUGCAUGCUCUUAGAUCAGAAGCAUCAAAAGGGAGGUCUAGAAGAGACCUGCCCAAAAAUUGGAAGUUCCACUGAACCAGACUGCAUUUUAAUAACAAAGCACUCUGUCACUGUGUUGUCAGGGGAUCAUACCCUGUGUAGAGGAUUAUUUAUAGGUUGGUUUUGGGGGUAAAGGUUUGAGAGCCGUUGCAGACAAAGUGCCUGAGUGCCUGACUUUUUAUAGAAGUAUUAAACAAACAUGGGAAUGUUUGUAUGAUAAUUAAUUUAGAUUGAAACAUGGGAUUUAUUACAUUUACUUAUGCUUUUAUUGAACUCAUGUACAUUAAAGUAAUGAAGAAUGGAAAAGAUACAUGGUGGUGACUAAAGAUUAAGAUUGUUUGUCUUGUUUGUUUGUAACAAUAUAAAUGUAAUUGUUUAAGAAAUAGGGGGUAGGGUUGUCUAAAAUUGGGAUAAUAAUUGAAACAACAAUUCUUGAGAGGGGAAUAAUAUUAUAUUGGGUGUUACCAUUGAUUAAAUAAUUAUGUAAAAAACAGAUGAAGUACUGAUCUAUGCAAAUGGUCCAAUGCAAAAGAAAGACCAAACUGGGAGGAAAUUGAUUCCUCCAAUGAUAUGUUAUAUAUUUUAUCAUUCUUUUAUUGAUUUAAUACUCUGAAUUACUCUGAUGCAGUCUGAAACUAUGAAAAACAGCUUAGCUUGCAGGAAAAAUUAAUUAAUGUGAUACAGACAUUGAGAGACCUUGGGAAACAGGAGGAAAUGAAAUGUAUGUGAUAAGUGAAUGAGUAGGGAGUUUUAAGAUAAGGAACACCUGUGGUAGUUUACCACCUCUGGGGAGAAUUAUAGCCUCUCUGUGAAUGACCAUGUAAAAUGUUGUGUAUAGAUACUAAAGGGAUGAAUCUAAUGUUUUUAAUUGGAACAAAGUCAGGCUCUGCCUGGCACCUGCCUGGAGGAGGCAGAGGACCCAUGUGUUAUUUAGUGCUAGAAAUGAGAUGCAACAAACGUGUGUGUGUAUCAAAUGACUGUAAUAAGGGAAAUCAUUUAAUAUACUAACCAAAUGAAUGCAGAAAGUAAUGAUUGUUAGUUAAUAGAAAACAUGUAACCAUAUGAGGUAAUUACAGUGUGCUUUCUGCAUAUAAAAUGAAAUAGUCAUGCUGUUGCCAUCAUUGAAGCAAGUUGGGCAGGAUGACCCACUGAAGGAGAGAAGGUGGAAAACAAUUGCGGCCUACAAUACCAAUGAAUAUGAAAGACAUAUUAAUAUGGAUGUUAUUACUGACAUACUUGGGACAAGUGUUGCCCCCAAUACAGGGCCUACCGGAGAAACGUCCCAAGAAGGACCAGGAUCUCCAGGUGAACAAUUAUAAUAAAGCAAACUGCAGAGUGGGUUCCCUACAAUCAGCCUUGGGGAUCUUGGAUGGCCUUUCCAAUGAAGCUGACCUAAAACUAAAUACUCCAGAAAGUGAAUUCAGAAAGUACAGAGCACUUGACAUACUGUAUUGAAGUUACUAUGAAUAUGGACUUCCCAACGAUGAAUACGAGGCAAGAUUCAGACAAAGAAGAGCAGCAAGCACAAAACCAAGAACCCGAGGAAGGAGAAGAUCCGCAAGCACUGGCUAGAGAAUCUGAAGAAAGAGAAGAGGAAGUAGAAGAGGGACAAGCGAACGUAGGAGACGAGCACGCUGAGGCAGAAAGAGGGAUUGAAGCACGUGCCACAGUGGAGCAGGAAAGCGUAGAAAGGGAGACGGAAGUAUUUGUCACAGAGGAACAGGACCAGGAAGGUGAAGAAGGAGAAAGACAAGAAGAAAGUGCUCGUCCUGCUGAGACGCAACUAAAGGAAAUGAAACAGGCCAACACACGCAGUCACUGGACGAAGUGUUGUGUGACGCAGAGGAAAGAAUGGAAGCUCAAGGAGGUACUAGUAUGGAUGAUGUUGUUGCUAACAUAUAUGGGACAGGUAUUUCCUCCCAUACAGGGUCUACCAGAGAAACGACCCAGGAAGACCCAGAAUCUCCAGACGAAGGAACAUCAGAACGACCAUAGUAUGAUGAGUUCCCUACACUUGACAUCACAGACCUUCAGUAUUAUUUCCCAGAAUGAGCAAAACCGAGAUAUCAUAGAACGAAGUGUCAGGAGCAACCCAGUCUCAUAUAAAAACAUACCCUGACUACAUUGGUCCAAAGGGCAAAACGUAGAGGGGUUACAAUAUUGGCCCUUGAAUUGUAUGACUGUUACAUUUUUUUUGCCUAUUCGUUUGCGUUCAAGUCACGUGACUUUCAAGAUUCAGGCCGUGAGAACAAAAAACAUGGCGGACAUUUCUCUCAUUUUUAGUGAAAAAAAAUCUAUAUUUUGUGUUAGUUUCUGCAUAAAAAUAAGUUUUGAUUACAUUUCUAGCGAGAAAUAUAUAUUAUAUUUUAAUAAUAUUCACUCAGUGAAUGUACAUAACCACUCGUUUGCUCGUUGUAGCGAAGAUUUUUCAGAUCUCGCCAGAAUAAUGUGAAACUGAAACGUUUUGGUUGCUAUGGACUAGGGCUGCAACAACGAAUCGAUAAAAUUCGAUUAUUAAAAGAGUUGGCAACGAAUUUCAUUAUCGAUUCGUUGUGUAGCGCAAUUAUUACGCCAGUCAAUAAUUCGCAGAGACGUUUGAGUAUAAAUAAAAAAGAGUUGAGUUGAGUGGGGAGUGGAGCGGAGCAUCUAUGAGGCGCCGGACCCGAGUGUGUCCGAGAUCGCGCGAAAGAGACAGAGUGUGUCCGAGUUUGCGCGCGAGAGAGAGAGAGACUGACGCGUCAUUCCCCCACGAAGAAGAAGAAGAAGAAACGAGGGGAAAGAAGCAGGAAAAGGUAAACAAGGAGGAAAAGGAAGCGUGGAAAAAUAACUCGACCAAGCUGAACAAAUGAAUAACCUUGACCCCGAAGAUGCCAUAUUCCUGGUUGAUGCAUUCCUGGAUGAGUGCAAGGUAAAUAACAUUAUCUCAGUGGUGGAAAAAGCAUACUAAUUACAUGCUAAAUACUAGGUCUAAGUCCAUAAUAGACUCUGAUGUAUAGCAGGGAAGAAAUAUCAAGGUGCAAAACUGAAAACACUCCAAACAAAGUGCACCUUUACAGUAGGCCUACCUGGUUCAAUGUCUUUAUUUAAAUGCAAGCUAUAGUGCUGAGCUGAGUUCACACGUUAGAGCCAGUGAGAGUUUAAUUUAAUAUUCUGUCAAAAUGCUUCACUUUUUUUUUUAUGUAGAAAGGGUUUUCUAAAUCUGUCAGUACAGUACCACAACCGUUAGACUGAAUUUUUACAAUGUAAUAUUAUAACAUUGGUUUUAUAAUGAGAUGUUUGUAGGUGGCGAUAACCUUGGUGUGUGGUGGUUUAUUCUGUGGCUCAAUUGUUUAUAUAGGUGGAUCAGCAUGGACACACUAAAGGAGAGUCAAAACAAUCCACAAAGCUGUGUGUUUGGCUUGAUGAGGACAAAGAUGGUCAAUCUAUGCCAAAAAGAUGUAGAGCUGGGGAGAAAGGAAAGCGAGAUUCAGUUACUGUUUCUUCAGCAAGCGUUACACCUUCCUGUGCUCCGUCUACCAGCACAACUGAAGACAAUGUGACCAUCGAAAAUGUAGUUUUUUUUCCCUUAAUACUUCUUUCCUCAUUUGUUAUGUGGUAAUUGCCCAGAUUUACCAUUGCCUUCUUCCCUUUUCAUAAAUGUAAAUUAAGUGGAUGAUUAUUUCCAGGUUUAUGUGACAAUACUGGAGAAUGAGCAAUGUAGUAUCUGACAUUUGGUCCUCACUGUGCACCUAAAUUACUGCACAUACAUUGUGUGUCAAGUUCGCACAGACAUGCGUUAGAUUGUUAAAUCCAGGCAAGUGGUUGGAACAAGCGAAAGGCAGAAAACCUUGACCGGACACUGGCCAAAAGAUACAUCAAGACUGUACAAAGGAUUGCAGAGGCAACAAAGGACCUGGAGAAACUCACUGCUGAGUUAUCUCUACAGCAAGACACAGUCCAGCAGUGGGUGUCUGAUGUUCAGCAGUGGACCUCAGGAGCAACAAUCCAAAAUGACCUGCAGAGGACCAUCGAGGGGCUAUAUUUGGGCAUCAAACAGUGAAAAUUUCAGCUGUAUCGUCAGUCUGGUGGGAAUAAGCGAAGGCAUCAACUGAGAAAAAAGAUUGCUGUUGAGAAGAAAGCCUUGGAAGUUGCCAUCAAUGACCACAAUGCUACUGUGGGGGAAGUUGAAAAACUGCCUCCUCCCAAUGAACUCCUGGCUGUGGACAACUACUCCUGACCAUGGGAAUGUCAUGGUGAAUUGGGCGGGGAAAAAAAUGUGUUUGACAAGGUAAUGCUGCUGGCUAGACUGAAAGAAGAAGUUAUUGUGGUUCGCGAAGUCAAGCAGCACAUGGAGUAUGUGAGGAGUGUUGCUGGACUGAUUGAAGAGUUUAUCUUUCAGCUCACUGAAGACACCAAUGGGAAAUGCAGUACAGAGGGCUUAAUGGAGAAAGGACGUGAGGGACUACUCUGUGUGCUGAAGAGAAGAUUGUGUGAA